rnacentral:rRNA from 1 species
AUACGGAGGGUGCAAGCGUUAUUCGGAAUCACUGGGCGUAAAGGACGCGUAGGCGGGCUGGCAAGUCAGAUGUGAAAUCCUACAGCUUAACUGUAAAACUGCAUUUGAAACUGCUAACCUAGAGUAUGGGAGGGGGAGAUGGAAUUAGUGGUGUAGGGGUAGAAUCCGUAGAUAUCACUAGGAAUACCGAAAGCGAAGGCGAUCUCCUGGAACAUAACUGACGCUAAGGCGUGAAAGCGUGGGGAGCAAACAGGAUUAGAUACCCUAGUAGUCC